rfam:Neotoma lepida isolate 417 scaffold_6451, whole genome shotgun sequence.
GUGCUGGCUCUGGCAGCACAUACACUAAAAUUGGAAUAAUACAAAGAAGAUUAGCAUGGCCCCUGUGCAAGGAUGCCAUGCAAAUUUGUGUAGUGUGCCAUAUUUUU